AAUCUUUCUUUGUCCCAGACCUUAUGUCCUAACCGUGAAAAGAGAUGACUAUGACGAUAGAGAAGAUGCUGGCUUCCGACUGUUGGGGUCGAAGUUUCCUCAAAAUCCUGUUUCAAAACUCUUUUUCAUGGUGGGUCGGUUCACAAUCAGCACCCAACACCUUCCCCUCCAAUCAUAAGUUGCAUAAUGUCUACCUACAAAACAGCGAUUGAAGUUAGAUCCUUUAGAAAAACUAUUUUUCCUUAUUUUGUGAGUUAUCCAGCUCAUCUCAUCUGAUAACAAGUGAACCAAAAAAAAAAUUGAACUUCCGAUGUUUGAGCAUUUGUUAAAAAUCAAAGUCUUGAUUCAGUUGAGCUGUGACUAUAAAAUGUAAUUUUUCACCAAAAAGAAAUUUUUAUUAUAAAUCAGAUUAUUUAGUUCUGAUUUUUGUUUUAACUCCAACUAACUGAAGAGUAUUGAAUCAUAUACUUUUCUUUGAAGAUGAAUCCUUACUAUGGUUCGUUGGUUCGUUUUUGCUAUGACC
rnacentral:lncRNA from 1 species